rnacentral:rRNA from 1 species
CGAAAGGGUGAGGGAGCGACGCCACGUGGAGGAUGAAGUCCUUCGGGAUGUAAACUCCUGUUAGGGUUACGAAAGCGAUGCGCGUGAAUAAUGCGCAAAGUUGAUCUAGCCCAAAGAAAGGGGCGGCUAACUCUGUGCCAGCAGCCGCGGUAAUACAGAGGCCCCAAGCGUUACUGAGAAUCACUGGGUUUAAAGGGUGCGUAGGCGGUGGUUCAAGUCAGAUGUGAAAUGCCUGAGCUCAACUGAGGCAUUGCGUUUGAAACUGGAUCGCUUGAGUAUCCCAGGGGUGUGCGGAACUGCCAGUGGAGCAGUGAAAUGUGUUGAUAUUGGCAGGAACGCCUGCGGCGAAAGCGAGUCUCUGGUCCCAUACUGACGCUGAGACGCGAAAGCCAGGGGAGCAAACGGGAUUAGAUACCCCGGUAGUCCUGGCUGU